UAUACAUGGUCAGUGGUGGUGGUGGUGGUGUUGUUGUUGUUGUUACUACUACAACAACACCACCACCACCACCACAUGUAAU